rnacentral:ncRNA from 2 species
GGACGUACCUCUGGAGAGACCAUUGAUGGCGCCGAAGGGGCAUUUCCCGGAAUAUUAGGGAAUAAUCUCUCAGGCAAAAGGACAGAGUUAAAGAC